AAACCGUGAACAAAACAUGACCACCUUUAGCAGUAAACGGUUACCUAUUUACACAUUUAGCAGAAACAGCGCAGCAAAAACAGCUGCCUUCUGCUGCUGGAAACAACCAUUGGACCCAUUAUGCAGCAUUGAGGUUAGUGAAACCACACAUUGGUGGGAAAAGACUUUGACACCAACAGCAAAUCUGCCUGUAUCUACGGAUUUCAGAAGUAUUUCUCUGCUGCGACUCAGCAAGAAAACACAGAACAGAGGAGACAAACCUCCUUCUAGCUUUAGCUGAACAUUAGAAUCCACUUGUACACAGAAGGACUGUGACUUUUGAAUCUCAUUCUUUUUAGGCUGUUUUCAUGAACCAUUUGUACAAAUAGCAAUGAAAAGUAAUGCACUGUAAUUCGUAUGUAUUCCACGUAUGUAUUACUAUAAGCACCACAAUGACUGCCGCUGUAUAAGAUCAUUGUGAGCCGCAUAGGGAGUAUAGACCUGUUUACACUCUACAUACCUCAUCUAUUGUUCUUUUUCAUUGUUCCCUUCUAUUUAUUAAGAUAAUUUAAUGCUAUUUAACCUUCCUUUUUCUUUUUGUAGUAGGCUAUUUUAAUUGUCACUAGUGCUAGGCAACCCCCCCCCCCCCCCCCAACCAAUAUAUAUACAAAUUGGGCUCCUCCGCAAGCUCCUCCCCUCACAUGCUGUCUUUAUAAGGGCACAAGCCAAGAACUAUCCCCCAUGCACAAGACAAACUAACUAUUAGGGAGUAGGUCAGGGUGGAUGGUGGGUCCUAAAAAACAGGGCUUUAAGCAGGGGAGUGAAGUUUAUGUCCCGAAAGACAUUAAGGGGAAAACAGAAGACUUUCACCCAGGAAAUGGAAGUUCGUUUCCUAGGAGUACUAUUUAAGCGGGUCGAUGUUUUAACCCGCUAUACCUAACUGUCAUGCAGUAAUUUCAUAGGAUCAUAUGACUUGUUUUGCAUAAGUUAUCAUACAAUAUCAUACAACCCCGUUCAUUAGAACACGUUGAGUUACACUAUGAAGAGAUUGCUUCCAAGGCCGGUAUGUAUGUCCAGUAAGAGGAAUGAUUAGUGACCAAUAAGUCUCUCAACAUACAAAUGACAUGUGUCUAUUGUAUUAAGAUAGGCUUGAUAAAAUGUGACCCUUUCCUUUAUUAUAAGGUUUGAUAAUUCGCUGACAGUAAACUGAAAGCAGUGUUUUUGCUAAUAUGCGUGAAUGUUUGACAAAUGUGUCGUUGAGUCCACUCUUUGCUAAACUUUUCUUGACAUUAUAAAUGCAAGCCAGAUUUGAAAACACAUUUUGAUGUUGUUGUAUGUCUUGAUUAAGCAAACGCUACGUUGCCCACUGUAUAUUAACUGUAUUUUCGUACAAUGUUUUUUUUUUUUUUGCUGCAAAGUAAUAUGUCAAGGUGAGCUGGACGGACAUAGAUCAGCACAAUAUACAAAAUGAGAUUUUAGUGAAUAUAAAAGUGUAUAAAUGAAUGUAAAAAACUAAAUCCAUUUCUUUUUUUUUAGUUUUCUCACUCCCUGGGUGGUACUUCAGGACACAGAACCGUUUGAGUUUAGCCUGAACUAGUACCACAUCAUCCUGUAUGACCUGCAGUAGGACAAUCCAAUGACUACAGGGCUUAGUGAACUGUCAUGGUGCUGAAAAGGACCAAUGACACUUUGUGGGAAUUGGACGUCCAUUGUCUGAAAUGUCAUUGCUUUGGAAAUUCCAAAUGAUAAAGUAGAUUUCCACAAAUGAAAGUAUUUUAUUCUUUAUACAAUAGAGCUAUAAAUGAAUGAUCACUUACAGUGAAGCUACAGUAUACUUACAUAGACUUCUGGUUAAUGUUCAAUCAAAUUCUGAUUUCAUUUUCCAAUAUUCAAGCCGUGAGUGGCUCACUUUAUAGUGAAUUUCAUGACCAUGUGCAAUAUAUUUUCAAAAAAGAUCUUUCUGAAAUAUAAAUGGUAUUUGAUGAUUGUAUUAGAUAUCUUUAUCAUUAUUUAUAAAGCCUUGUUAUUACCAGCUUCUCUGAAAAGCCUCUUCUAAGAGCGUGUUACGUUCUUGAACUCAACUCACCUAAAACAGCGUUGUUUUUGUUUGUUUGUAUGGUUCUUUGUUAAAUUAUAGCUUACAAAUCUCAAAGUUGCUUGCUGAUGUUUGAACAUUCUGUGAAACAAAUCCCUGACCUGGCUUUUGGGGUCUUAUUCAGGCCUUUAUGACUAAAAAUGCAGGGGCUUUUUACUUUGUAUUCCUUGUGCAAGUAUUAAAGAGAUAAGUGCAACAAUAAACAAUGUAUAUGAAGA